rnacentral:rRNA from 1 species
AUUGAACGCUGGCGGCAUGCCUUACACAUGCAAGUCGAACGGCAGCACGGGGCAACCUGGUGGCGAGUGGCGAACGGGUGAGUAAUGCAUCGGAACGUACCUUUCAGUGGGGGAUAACGUAGCGAAAGUUACGCUCAUACCGCAUAUUCUGUGAGCAGGAAAGCAGGGGAUCGCAAGACCUUGCGCUGAUUGAGCGGAGGAAGUCAGAUUAGCUAGUUGGUGAGGUAAAGGCUCACCAAGGGGACGAUCUUUAGCGGGUCUGAGAGGAGGAUCCGGCACACUGGAACUGAGACACGGUCCAGACUCCUACGGGAGGCAGCAGUGGGGAAUUUUGGACAAUGGGGGAAACCCUGAUCCAGCCAUGCCGCGUGAGUGAAGAAGGCCUUCGGGUUGUAAAGCUCUUUCGGCCGGGAAGAAAUCGCACGGGCUAAUACCCUGUGUGGAUGACGGUACCGGAAUAAGAAGCACCGGCUAACUACGUGCCAGCCGCCGCAGUAAGAC